CACACUGAGAAGCCUUGUCUCGAACAAACAAACAACAACAAAAAAAGAGGUUGGAGAGUUAUUUCAGAGGCCACAAAGUAACAUGCUGCCUGCUUACCUAUGAUCACCAGCCUUCUGACCCUUCUUCGGACAGAGUAGUGUAUGAGCUCCUUGGCGUGGCACCUGUGUCAGCAGAACAUGCCUGCCUUGCCCGUGAGUCCGUGGAAGGGAACAAAGGCCAGCAAGGCUCCAGGUGGCAGCCUGCAGGCCACUGUAGGUGAUGAGGGAACAGCAGAAUUUGCCAUUUGGAGGGACCGUGGGCUCCUGGCCUCCCGCUGGAGGGUCUGCAGCUGUCAGUGUUCUCUGAACUCCACUCUCUGCUUCCAAUGAAGAUGUCACAGAGACAGAAGGGAAUGCCAGGCGUGCCCUUUGAUUUGC
rnacentral:lncRNA from 1 species